AAUUUCUUCACUUUUGUUUCAGGCCAACACAAUCACCACGGCCCUUCAAGAUGGCCAUGACGUGAAUCAUCAAGAAGAAGCUGUUGACGCGGCGGCCGCGUCGGAUGGGUGUCCCGUCUGUACCUCUUCUGAGGGAGAGCCGCGCAGGAGUAUAUGCUUCAGCAUUUCAUCACGCUACGCAAACUCUUCCUUACGUUCCUCUUGCCAGCUGUGGACGCAGCGCGCUAGCCUCGCUGAGCCCAUUGGGUACCACUGAGCCCCACGUGACAGAGGGCACAACAGCGCCGACCGGCUCCUCGGUGGCUGUGAAUCAGAGCAGCAGCGCAUUCAACAGACGGCAGGUUCGGUUCCUCGUGGUGAACAUGGCUUUGUGCCACUUCUCUCUUCCCACGGGGGAGGCCUCCAAGGACGAUGUCGAAUCUCCAGUGGGGGGCCUGCGGCAUCGCCGGUAAGGAACUGCACAACUUCCCCUUCGACGAUGAAGCCUUUUCGAGCCGCCUGCCGCGUGCCACGGAGCGUAUGGCGGCGGGCUGUGCUCCUGUUUUGACGGCCGCGCAUCUUUUAUGGCUUUCUCGAAGACCUCGAGGACACAUCGACGGGGCGCGACAGCGACGAGGACGACGGGGCAGCUUGCAGCCACUUUUUGUGGCGCGCGUUCAUGCGGCACUGUUGUGCAUUGGCCGCCGCGUAGGUAUCGCGGUAGGACGCGGUGGCCGAAGAAGGUGGGAGUGGGGUCAGGCAGAGAGCCUGCGGUGCCUUUUCGUCGGUGCUGCUGGACGGCAGCCUCCCUCCCCUCGCGCGCGCGCAGUUGCACCCACGCUACCUCUGCUUUUCUCAUGCUCCCCUUGUUCCGCGCGUGUGUUUGUUGCCGCUGUGCGUUUUGCAGUGCAGCGAGUACGCCGCGCUCGCCACUGUUUGCCCGUGAAGGGCGGCUGUGAGAAAUUGGGAUGCACGAGCUAAGAAGGCAGCGCAAGAAGGCAGACACGUGCAGCGCAACACAGCGCUUCAUACUAACGGCAGAAGGUAUGACGAGCACGGCCAACGCUUGGGGUGAGGGGGGUGGGCAGCGGAAGAGAAGCUCUGCGUGUCUCUGCGCGUUACAUACCUGUGCAU
rnacentral:misc_RNA from 1 species